UAAGCUUUGGCAGCUAAUUAUAUUAACCUUGGACCGAUACAGAGCAGAUGAGCAUGGCCCCCGCUCGAGGAUGACACCCAUUUGGGAAGUGGUCCAUAUUUGU
ensembl:snRNA U6 U6 spliceosomal RNA